rnacentral:misc_RNA from 1 species
UGACACAAUAUUUAAUUUUGCUAUUAGACAGAAAGCACAUUCCACUUAACGGUAAUCUACCGUUAUUCCAUUACAUGGUUUUUCUAAAAUCCCAAUUGGGAAACUAUUAAUUUUUGAUAUUUUCAUGAAGAAAAAAUAUAUAUUUUCUAUCAUUAUAUUUCUACUCAAAUAACAAAGUAAAACACAAACAACUACAUGCUAAAGAGAAAAAAUAGAUCUUUGAAAUAGAGGAAAUAGUAAAUCUUUACAAAAGAGGAAAUACUAAAUUCUCAAGAAGAAGAGGAGACACCAAAUCCUUUCAAUGAAGAGAGUAUACCAAAUCCUUCCGAUGAAGAGAGUAAAAACUCAUAUCUAUCACAAUAAUAAACUAAGGAAAAAUAUAGAUUUGUUAUAAAAUAAUACAAAUUUAGAGAUUAUUA